AGGUUGUAGUUUCCUUGUCAUUGGUGAAUCAAAUGCAACUUGUGGAAAGAGAUGGAAAGAAUGCCCAUGUGACAAGGCAACUUACUGAAUGUAUUAUUUGGCAUCGAAUUUUUAUUAUCUAUAUUUUCCCAUGAUUUAGAUUGAAUUUUGGUUCUAUCAACUUGUUGAAUUCUUUUAGUAAUGUUAUUUACAUUAAUAGAAUAUGUGAAUGGCUAAACCUCAAUAUCAUCCACCACAAGAAACAAUAGUAACAACACUCAAUCCAUGGAUGAUGAGAAUCCCAUAAGACUUGUGACUGACAUAGUCCAUGAAACUCAAAGAGAGGUGGAAGAAAAUUCUCAAAAGACCAAAUGAAUCGAUAAAAAUGGGAGUUGGGGGAUUACUAACCGAAGCAAAGAAAGAAAUGAAGUCAGAGGAAUAUGAGCACAAGUUGGGGACUGGUUCCGUAUAUAAGAUUAGUUCUUUGUUCAAUUUACUUAUUGCCAUUUAGAAUCAUGCAUAGUGAUUUGACAUUUAUUGGAUUUUCGAGUAUCAAAAUCUGCUGGUAGGAUAUCAUGUUCCAUGCGAAGGGGAGAAAGAAGGUGCUUUUAUUACCUUGACUUGAUAAUUUUUGUCAUCUAGGUUUAGAAUUUCUGUUGCAGUUCUUCAAUGUUAUUAGGUUCCAUUUGCCAUUUAAUAAAUAUUAGAGUUUUUUCAUAA